rnacentral:tRNA from 1 species
GGGAUCUAGCUCAGUUGGUAGAGUGCUUGCCUUGCAUGCACAAGGCCCCGGGUUCAAUCCCCGGUCCCA